rnacentral:rRNA from 1 species
AAGACCUUGCGCUUUUGGAGCGGCCGAUGCCUGAUUAGCUUGUUGGUAAGGUAAAAGCUUACCAAGGCUUCGAUCAGUAGCUGGUCUGAGAGGACGGCCAGCCACACUGGGACUGAGACACGGCCCAGACUCCUGCGGGAGGCAGCAGUGGGGAAUUUUGGACAAUGGGGGCAACCCUGAUCCAGCCAUGCCGCGUGAGUGAAGAAGGCCUUCGGGUUGUAAAGCUCUUUCAGCCGGAACGAAACGGUUACGGUUAAUACCCGUGAUUACUGACGGUACCGGAAGAAGAAGCACCGGCUAACUACGUGCCAGCAGCCGCGGUAAUACGUAGGGUGCGAGCGUUAAUCGGAAUUACUGGGCGUAAAGCGUGCGCAGGUGGUUUUGUAAGUCAGAUGUGAAAGCCCCGGGCUCAACCUGGGAACU